CGGACUAAUGGUGAGAUCAUGUGUGAGUGUAUCCCUCCGUCUCUUCUGUUUUACUUCCACGUGAAAGGUGUGUGGGUGCAGCUCCCUCUCUCUGCAGUGACCUGCUGCUCCGCUGCACUUGGCUUCCAAAGCAUCCUGUCGGCUGCCUAGCAACACUCAGUGUCCAUGGCAACGGAGCCAACAAACCUUCCCACCUCCAUCAGCUGUACCCCCCACAAUCAGAGCUUGUGGCAAUCAGGAGGAGGACUAGAAUCCAGUAUCUGGGCUAUAGUGAACAGGUGGAGUCAAAUGUUACAGUGAAGCAAUCACCAUGUGUUAAUACUAGUUGUUUUUUCAGCUAAGACUACCAAACUGCUGAGGGUUCAAAAAGGGUGACAGGUUCUCGAGAACCAGGAUGCCCAAAUGAGAGACUAGAGGGAGGCCAAGUAAUUGCACCAGUGUAGAGUUUCCAAAGUGCAGAGGCUGUAUCUGUUAUUUUGUAAAGGGAAUACAACAUAAAAAGUAACUAAGCCAGGGUCAAAUGAGUUUUCAACUUUGACCUUCUUGUCUUUCAUUCCGAUAUGAAAAAACUGUAAAAAGUUAUGAUUGAGAUUGUCUUAACAGAAGCCCACCUGAGUUUUCGUUCUGAUUAGAGACAGACAUGGAUGCAAAUAGGCCUACUGUAUACAUUAAUGUGAACAAUACAUUAAUGGCUUUGGUUAGAGCAGACUCUUCUACCCUGUUCCUGGAGAGCUACUCUCCUGUAGGUUUUCGCUCCAAUUUUAACCUGAUUCAGUUUAUCAACCAGAUAAUUAUUAUUAUCAGGAUAGAUUAGGGUUGGAGUGAAAACCUACAGGACGGCAGCUCUCCAGAGACAGGAUUGGAAAGCCCUGGGUUAGAGGUAGUGUGCCCCCUCUAGCGGGUAUAAGUAAGCAUUACACCCAAGUGAAAAUUGACAGCAAGGUUGUAGUUCACCUGUUCCACAGAUAUCAUGAAUUCACAGUUGACGACUUACACCAUUUAUGACAUUUUUACAUUGCUUUGUAACUGGUUUGAUAUAUGAUCACAUUGAGAUGAGGACAUGACUGUGUGUGGGCUUAAUUAAAUUGAAUCCACAUGUAGGAUUUACACACUUGUAAACAUGCCUUUUCACCCCUGUUGUUUAGGGUUUGAUUGAUUCUGGUUCUACACAGUCAGUACAUUAUGCCUACUCUCUCAGUUGCUGAUGUUAUUUAAAAGUAACCCAUUUUAAAGCAGCUGAUGGAUAUAGAAUGGCCAUGUAGUGUUACAGUGAAUGGAGGCUUAGAGGCCUAUUACCAUUUAAACAAAGUCUAUGAGCCCAUGCAUUUUUUUUAUUACAAUGCUAGGAUACUGCAUGCAAAUUAAUAGAAUGGAAAUCGGUAUAAUUAGGCCAAUUUAAUUUGACACCAAUGUUUUUUGGAAUAAACAUCAUGUAAUGGACAAAUAAAAUCACUUGGUGGCGACCUCUAUCAAGUA